UUUCUAUGUUUUAACAGAUCGAGCAGCUGAAACAAAAAGCGGACAAGCGUGUACGCAGUGUGAGUACAGUCAGUGUGUAUGUGUGUCUGAUACAGUUGGAGACACUGUCCGUAACUACCAGACAAAGUUGGUAAAUAAUUGAGCUUGUUUUCCAGUGACUGUGUGAAUUUCUAUUUUGGGCUUGAUAUAGAUUAAGUGAUAAACUCAUUUAAAGCCCCAGUGGAGGUGGGUUAAUAGACGUGAAAGCAUAUAUUGGGGGAAAAAAUUUUGAUUUUCCUAUUCGGUAAAGAUAUACUAAUAGUCCUUAAUGUUUCCCAUCAUCUAUUCAUUUUAGUCUUUGCUUGGCAUCCAGACACAAAGCAGCAGUCACCCUCAGUAAGCAGUCUGGUGGCUGAGAUUGAUUUCUGCAUGCCCUCUGCUAUUACUAUAAAGGUCUAAUGCCAACCUCUGGCACUGUAGGAAUUGUGCACUUCACUUAGCAGCUGCCUGAGCUUCAGGAGAUGUUUAGUCAAAAGCUCUGCACACGUUGGAACAACGAUGGCCAAAGCUAGCCAUCAUUAUUCCAACGUGUGCACUCUAAAUAUUAAGGGAGUUCCAAUCUCAAUGAAUGACCUGUAUAUACCCUCCAUGAAUUCCUAAUCAUGCACCUUUCAUGCAACACACAAUUUAAGCUAUUUAUGUUAAGCUAUUUAUUUGUGUAUUUAAGAAAAAUAUAUUUUGGGGGUCAGGUGGGGGGGAGACAGUAAAGUUUCCCUAAAAAGACAGAGCUAAUCUAAUCUGAAUGUAUGUAAUAGAUUUGUGUAUUUUUUUAAUGUUUUUUUUUAUUUUAUUUUAUUUUAUUUUUUUAUGUUCUGUUCUUGCCACACGAUAUAUCUGCCUUAACAUGUUUCUAACCUGCAGUUCAUGUAAUUUCAGGUACGGUACCAAGCGGUAGAAGACUAUAGUGGUGCUUGUUGCCCUCUGACCAAAGGCAUUCGGACUUUCUUUACCACACCCUGCACAGAGGAACCCCGAAUGAAGCUCCAAAAAGGGGAACUUGUUCUAGCAACCAGAGGCUUGAAGUAUGUUACAUUUAUUCGGAGCGUACUGCGUUAAUGAACUUUUUCCAGGAGACAAUGUAUUUAUUAUCGGCUGAGCGUUGUCAGCCGUUCAUCACUGUGUGGGUUUGUUUUAAAAAAAAAAAAAAAUCCUGGAGUCCAUAUGGCCCUUCAGUAUAUACCACCUUAAAGGAACACUAUAAGUUUAAAAACAGCUGUUUAGGUGGCUGCCACUUGCUUACCUUAAAUAGUAUACCAAUUCACUUUUAUUCCAGCACCAUGCAGGUCUGCCUCCUUGGCUGAGAUCAUCAGAAUUCACAAUCUCUUCAAUCAUAUGCUUUCCUAUCAUCAAUUCUUAUGAUCUUAGCCAAGGAGGCGGAGCAGGGGGCUAAGCUAAACGCCGUACUGGCCAGUCAGCAUCUCCUCAUAGAGAUGCAUUCAAUCAAUGUAUCUCUAUAGGGAAAGUUCAGCGUCUUCAUGCAGAGAGUGGAGACACUGAACAUGCACCACUGACCAACAAUGCAUCUGGAGAGCCAUCUCUGAAAAGGUGGUGUUUACAUUGAGAACCCUGCAGGGACAUACUAUACUCACCAGAACAAUCACAUUAAGCUGUAGUUGUUCUGGUGACUAUAAUGCCCCUUUUAUAUAUACAUGAACUCUUUAAGUGCAGUAGAUGUGGUUAAUGCAUAGGUCAUGUGUCUAGUACCCUUGCAUAAAUUUAAUCUCUCAGCAGUGAGUCAUCUCACAGUAGUAACAAAAUUCAGGUUGUGAUAGAACUGAAAAGUGUCACCCCCACCCCCAUUGGCAAUCUUAUGUAAGAGGUUUCCUUUGGCAUCUCUUGUAGCUAUAUAAAUAAAUAAAAUCACUGUAAGUGAUGGAUUUAUAUUCGGCUAUUUCUGCCUUUACUUUCAGGAAUUGGAUGUACGGGGAGAAGAUUUGUGACGGUGACUCACCCGAAGGUAAGAAUAAACCAAUUGCCUUUCUGACUAAAAACUCACAUACUACUUUAUUAUUAUUAUUAUUAUUAUUAUUAUUAUUAUUAUUAACCCUGUACAAAACUUGGACUAACAGACAUGUAUUUCUGACAAGUUGGACACACACAGGAACGGAGAGGGUUGAGGGCCUUGCUUAAACAGCUUAUAUUCUACUUUCUGGAUUAUGAUUAUUAGCACAUUAGGAUUUUCUCGGGUAUUGUGUAUUUUUAUUUUCUUGAUGACCAGAUUUAUUCUUAAACAUUUUAUUAUAAAAGGAUUUUAUCAGUGGGUGACAGAACACAAUCUAGAGAUUGGUGGAGCAGCUUGAGUAAGAAAUUCCAUCACCCUUAGUUUUUUGUGGCUGGUCAUAUGGAAGAGAAUGGGGGAAGUAUAUCCUAGUAGCCAGAUGGUUAUAGUGCACCCACCUGUGGAGUUGGCAGAGACCAAAGCAUUAUACACUAUUGUUAGUAGACCUUAACAUAACCUUUCUCUGUGUCUCUGACCUUGUCGGCUUAUUUGGUUUCGUUAAUAGCUGAUGGCUGGUUUGGUUUCGGUAGGAACCGAUGGCUGGUUUGGUUUCGGUAGGAGCCGAUGGCUGGUUUGGUUUCGGUAGGAGCCGAUGGCUGGUUUGGUUUCGGUAGGAGCCGAUGGCUGGUUUGGUUUCGGUAGGAGCCGAUGGCUGGUUUGGUUUCGGUAGGAGCCGAUGGCUGGUUUGGUUUUCGGUAGGAGCCGAUGGCUGGUUUGGUUUCGGUAGGGUUUGAUGGGAGCUAUUUGCAAAAGGCAGUUGUAAAUUAAAGACUGCCCGGCCUAUUCUAGAGGCAAGCCAUAUUUCUAUUUCAUUGCCAUCUUUUUGCCACAAGAUGGCGUAUUUUAUAAAAAUCGAUCAGGAGCCUUUACUUACUUACUUUCUUUGACCUGGUUUUCAUGUAACCUAUUGGUGCUUUUUCUCUUCUAGAUGGAUCAAAAGUGAGGGGCUGGUUCCCCCGACGCUGUGCGGUAAAAUAUGUCUCUGACACAGGCUCUGACCAGUCCGAUGACGAAAAGGAAAAGAAAUCUAGAUAGCCCCUUCCUGAGACCCACGUAUGGUACCUUUUAUUCAGAACAACCAGGCAGUGAACUGAAAAUCUAUCCAGUAAUUCACCGGUUAACAAACCAGCAUUAAUGACUGAGGCUGGGUUAAGGGUUCAUGUAACCUACCUCUACCAUGGCAGCUGGGAGUCUCCGUACACCAGGGCAGAAUUACCUUCAUCUAUUUCUUGGAAACGUCCCCCACCUGAACUACUUGAUCUAGUUUCUGUGACCAUUGAAGGUGACAAAACCUAAACCGAGAAUAGACAGGGGAAUAGCAAAGAAUAGGAAAGUUUAGAUUGAUAUAGCUGAAUUCGAAAAAUAACAGAUUUAAAGAAUGAUAUAUCAGCUGUUUAAGGCCAAAAAUUGAAUUCCCUUUCAAUUUCUGACAGUUUACACUUUUAGUGAGUAACCCUGAUAAGCCGUUAGGAGGUCCUUAAACUGGGAAGAAACAUAUUCCCAGCACUGGUAAACUGCAUGUGGAGUGAGAUCAGAGUGUGAGUGCACACUCUUACUGUAGAAUCCUGCGCUGUUCUAGGUGUGACAGUCGUGUGUAUCAGGGAGAGGGAUCUGGAGCGUUCUUCUACAUGUCCAUAUUCUAAUACAUUAAAACCACUGCUUUUGGAAAGGCACUAUCGAAGCGACUGGUGAUUGGAAUUACCAAAAUCUAAUAAAGGACUGGCAGAGAAAUGUUUUUUAUAGCAGGAUUUAGUAAAUGCAGCCAGGGUUAGAAAACGACUACUAAAGACCAAAUGCACCUCAAACAUAAACCUGAGGGAUUGUGAAAUGGCCCAUCUAAGCCAAGCAGAACGAUAAUCUCUCAUUGGGGCCAGAUCUACCAUUGUAUUGUUACUUCAGGCUAUUAAACACACUAUGGAGAAUAUCUUUGACCCCUUUGUAAAUCUACUUCAGCAGAGAUGACCACCACCAUCACAGGAGUUGUAGUUCUGCAAUGGUGGGGGUGAUGAUUGCCUUUUGGCCGCCCCCACCUUACAGGUUUAUUUAUUGAACAAUGAUUGAGGUGAUUCAACAUCACAGAUGGCGCUUAUAUGCCAAAAAAUGCAAAAUGUUGGCACAAAAAUCUCACACUUGGCCAACUUAGAGAUUUGUUCCAAUUUGCCAAAGCUCAUUGCUUAGUGAAUAAACCCUUAGUCUUGUUUAAAAAAAUGUUCUGUUUCAUACCAAAUAAUAUGCAAAUGUCUUUAAUGCAUUUCCUAGCAGAGCGUGUAUGUAAUGAUCCCUCAAUGUUUCCUGAGGGCAAACUGUAUUAAAAUGUUAUUCGUAACGUGCUGUUUUAUUAUCUGAUAACCGUGUGUUCUCUCCACUUAAAUUAGAAUAUUUUUAUCUUGUUAAAUUUCUUCUGAACUCCGACCUUUUUACAGUUGUACAGUCUGUCAAUUGGUAAUAAAAGGGAAAAGCCAAGUCUA